AGUGAACGCUGGCGGUAGGCCUAACACAUGCAAGUCGAACGGCAGCACAGUAAGAGCUUGCUCUUACGGGUGGCGAGUGGCGGACGGGUGAGGAAUACAUCGGAAUCUACUUUUUCGUGGGGGAUAACGUAGGGAAACUUACGCUAAUACCGCAUACGACCUACGGGUGAAAGCAGGGGAUCUUCGGACCUUGCGCGAUUGAAUGAGCCGAUGUCGGAUUAGCUAGUUGGCGGGGUAGAGGCCCACCAAGGCGACGAUGCGUAGCUGGUCUGAGAGGAUGAUCGGCCACACUGGAACUGAGACACGGUCCAGACUCCUACGGGAGGCAGCAGUGGGGAAUAUUGGACAAUGGGCGCAAGCCUGAUCCAGCCAUACCGCGUGGGUGAAGAAGGCCUUCGGGUUGUAAAGCCCUUUUGUUGGGAAAGAAAAGCAGCAGGUUAAUACCCCGCUGUUCUGACGGUACCCAAAGAAUAAGCACCGGCUAACUUCGUG
rnacentral:rRNA from 1 species